GAUGUACUCCCUCCGUCCGAAAAUACUUGUCAUCAAAAUGGAUGAAAAGGAUGUAUCUAGAACGAAAAUACAUUUAGAUAGUAGAUACAUUUUUUAAUUUUUUUAAUGACAAGUAUUUUUGGACGGAGGGAGUAUAUA
rfam:Triticum aestivum genome assembly, contig: Triticum_aestivum_CS42_TGACv1_scaffold_592450_7BS